rnacentral:rRNA from 1 species
AGUGGAUGGGGAGCAACCUAGUUGUGCGUGUGUGAAGGUAGUGCCAAGAAAAGCGAUGAUCAUGUUGAAAAUCAAUUCCCGGUACCCGAAACCGACACAGGUGGGCAAGUAGAGAAUACUAAGGGGCGCGAGGUAACUCUCUCCAAGGAACUCGGCAAAAUGACCCCGUAACUUAGGGAGAAGGGGUGCCACCGAGAGGUGGUCGCAGUGAAGAGGCCCAGGCGACCGUUUAGCAAAAACAUAGGUCUCUGCGAACUCGAAAGAGGAGGUAUAGGGGCUGACGCCUGCCCAGUGCCGGAAGGUUAAAAGUUGGUCAGUUUUAGGAUGAAGCUAGCGACUGAAGCCCCGGUGAACGGCGGCCGUAACUAUAACGGUCCUAAGGUAGCGAAAUUCCUUGUCGGGUAAGUUCCGACCCGCACGAAAGGCGUAACGAUCUGGGCGCUGUCUCGGAGAGAGGCUCGGCGAAAUAGGAUUGUCUGUGAAGAUACGGACUACCUGCAUUUGGACAGAAAGACCCUAUGAAGCUUUACUAUAGCUUGGAAUUGUGUUCGGGCUUCCUGUGCGCAGGAUAGGUGGGAGGCGUAGAAGGUAUUCUUGUGGGGAUACUGGAGCCAACGGUGAGAUACCACUCUCAGGAGGCUAGAAUUCUAACUUAAUUAAGGACAGUUUCAGGUGGGUAGUUUGACUGGGGCGGUCGCCUCCAAAAAGGUAACGGAGGCGUACAAAGGUUCCCUCAGACUGGUUGGAAAUCAGUCGAAGAGUGCAAAGGCAGAAGGGAGCUUGACUGCGAGAAGUACAGUUCGAGCAGGGUGGAAACACGGUCUUAGUGAUCCGACGGUGCUGUGUGGAAGGGCCGUCGCUCAACGGAUAAAAGUUACUCUAAGGAUAACAGGCUGAUCUCCCCCAAGAGUUCACAUCGACGGGGAGGUUUGGCACCUCGAUGUCGGCUCAUCGCAACCUGGGGCGGAAGUACGUCCCAAGGGUUGGGCUGUUCGCCCAUUAAAGCGGUACGUGAGCUGGGUUCAGAACGUCGUGAGACAGUUCGGUCCAUAUCCGAUGUAGGCGUGAGAAUAUUGAGAGGAGCCUUCCUUAGUACGAGAGGACCGGGAAGGACGCACCGCUGGUGUACCUGUUAUGAUGCCAAUUGUAAACGCAGGGUAGCCAAGUGCGGAGAGGAUAACCGCUGAAAGCAUCUAAGUGGGAAGCCCACCUCAAGAUGAGUAUUCUGGUGUAAGGUCACGGGAAGACGACCCGUAAAUAGGCACGAGGUGGAAGUGCAGAGAUGUAUGAAGCCGAAGUGUACUAAUAGACCGUCGGCUUGAUA